AGAAUGACUCUCGGCAACGGAUAUCUCGGCUCUCGCAUCGAUGAAGAACGUAGCGAAAUGCGAUACUUGGUGUGAAUUGCAGAAUCCCGUGAACCAUCGAGUCUUUGAACGCAAGUUGCGCCCCAAGCCUUUAGGCCGAGGGCACGCCUGCCUGGGUGUCACAC
rnacentral:rRNA from 8 species